UUGGCCGGCUCCGAGCCAGGGCCGCUGGCGGGCCCGGCUUGGCGACAAGUGGUGGCUGUGGGCCCGGCCUGGCCGCAGUGAAGCGAUGGCGGGCCCAGCCAAGGCAGUGAGGCAGCCGGCCGGCCAGCCCUGAUACCGGGGCAGAAGGUGGGGGUGGGGGGAGAGGUGGCUGGCCUGCGGCCGGCCACAAGGACUGGCAAGCAGUGGCAGCGGGCACAGCAGGCCACGGAGGCAGCACUUGGUGUGGCGGGCCCGCCAGCGGGACAGGCCACUGAGGCGGCUCUUGGCCAGGCGGCGCUGGGACCAGCCGCCGAGGCCAGGAGGAGCCCAUGGGAGACUGGGGUGGGAGGGAACCGGGUGGCAGGGCUUUCCUGUUUGCCAGAUGGGAGGAGGAGCGGCGGCAGCCCACAAGGAUUCCAUGUUGUACCCACCGAGCAUUCCCCAGGUCACAGAAGUGGAGGUCUGGCAUACAUGGCGCUCCAUGUGUGCCAAAGAGCCAUCAGAUCCGGGCAACAGUCUACUGAUCCAUGGUCUAUUUAUUUAUUUUAUCAUACUUAUAUACAGAGGCGUAACUAUAGGGGGGGCAGGGGGGGCAUGUGCCCCGGGCGCCAUCUUUUCUGGUCACGUGGGGGGUGCCGCCAUGACCAAAUUUUUUAAAAAAAAUUUUUGUUAAUACAAAUGUUUCCUGCUCAGUGCAGCAGCGCUGCAGCAGUCAAGGGAGUGCAUCGGUGCCCCCUUCCCCACGAGCGGUCCCUUCCGCGCCGCCUGCGCCCCCCCCCCAUUGCUUUGCUGGCACCUGGCGGCCAGUCAGUGGCCUGGCUUGGCGGCAGCGGCGGGCGCUUGUGAGGAAAAACCUAAGUAUAAUGUAGUAUGUUGGGGGGGCAGUGGGGCGCGGUGGGGGGGCGCCAUUUCAGUGCUUGCCCCGGGCGCCGUUUUCCCUAGUUACGCCUCUGCUUAUAUACCACCUGAUGUUUAUAUACGUGUGUGUGUGUGAGAGAGAGAGAGAGAGAGAGAGAGAGAGACUCUUUUUCAAAUGUGAACACAAUCCAAGUUAUAACAAUUAAAACACUUUCACAGAAUUUUAAAAUCAGUUUUCAUUAAAAGCCUGAAAAAAUGAGUUUUUAAAAGGGUCUUUUAAAAAGCAAUCAGAUGGAGAAGCUCUUAUUUUGACAGUGAGUGCAUUCCAAAGCCUUGGGGCAGCCACAGAGAAGUUGCCACAAGACGAGCAGGCAGCAACCAUAACCGGACCUCCCCAGAUGAUCUUAAUAGUACCUUAAUGAUACAGGUAAUCGUAUAUUUUGACCAGCACUAAUAGUAUGUUGGUAUGUAAAUGCUACUGAGCACAUUUGAGAGGUACGUAUCAAACUAUAGAACUGGAAAUUUGGCAUGACAGUGACUAAAAUAGUAAUUGUCUCCUGUAUGACUGGCUUUUCAUUAGCAUUCGCCAAAAUCCCGAACAGUAGAUUCUGUGAAAGGAAAUAUUGAGAGACUUUGCCAAUAAUGCCCAUGUGCCACACAGAUGCCUCUCGGGACGGAAAUUGCUUUUAAAAAUAAAUAAAAGCAGGGCUGCUUCUUUCAGGGGUUACAAGAUGACAGAAUAAUGUUGCAGCAGGAGAACUCUGAAAACAAUGUCAUAAAAUCCAUGGAUCCUAUGUCUCCACAGUGAUAAAAUACAUCUCAUUUCAAUCUCAUUUCUACUUUUUUAUAGCUAUGCUAAGAAAACUUGCUUCUAACAAGGAAGUAUUGACUAAAUUCUCCACAACAUAAUCAGCAAAACCAAUAUUUUGGAGAAAGGAGAAACAAGUGUGACUUGUAUAUUUGCAGUCAGCCCCCAACCAUCAUGCAAGAACUAAUUAGUGCACUAACGGUAACAAAGAACUGCCGAUUACUAAGCAAGAGAAGAGGCUCCUCUCAAAGUCCUGGACAUUCAUUAGCCCAGGGCCAGGUACAUCUCUGUGGCUAUGGAUUUGUCAUGGGAGCACAGCAUUUAAUGUUAAUGCAGAAUCCGGUAAUUUACAGUCCUCACAAAUGUGAAGGAAAUGUUAGAAACACCUUCAUUACCCUCAGCUUCCUCCAUUUCUUCCUUAACAAAAAUAAGUGCUCUCAGCAAAGCUAUCUUUUCCUUUACCACAAAAACCAAGUUAUUUGAAAACCUGAACCAUGCAAGCAGAAUGAGGUAUGCAAAUUUAAGUAAAUAAAGUCAAUGAGAUUUAAUCCCAGGAAGCCUAAUGCUGCAGGUAAAUAUCUUUUGGAAACCAGAACAAGAGUUAUGGCUAGGGGCCUGGCAAGGUUGGAGUGGGGCCUAACCCCAAGAUAGAAAAAUUAAAGGAAAUGUAAAGCAAAGAGAAAUCUAAUGCAAUCUGCAACAAUGAGAAACUUUCUAAUCAUUAACUGGUAUUGCUGAUAUCUUUGGACUCUGAUCACUUUUCUUUUGAUCAACAAAGCCCAGUAAUGGCUGGUAUAUAGCAUUAGACUGCACUCAGUUUUGUGCCGUGUGUGCGCGCAUAUGAACGUGCACAAAUUUAUUCAAACCCCUGAUUUAUCAGCAAAUCAGCACUUUAAUCUCACAAAUAUGAAAAAAUGUAUUUCACAGACCUAAGGGGGUAAUGCUAGCUCAUUUACUACAGACUUAAUGAAUGUUGCUAGGCAAUCACUCAAUCCCUAGAACAAAUUCCAUUUGCAGAAUAUGCCAAUAUAAAUUAGUAAGCACACUUUCCUGAUAUAUCUAAGAAAGUGGCAUUUAGUAGUAAUCUAUUAUUGAUGAAAUGCAGCUUAGCAUCAAAACUCCAGGAAACAAAAAUAAAUUAACCAUUAUAGUCAAAGUACAUUAAAACAAAAUAAUGUGUCAGAUAUCUGUAAAUACUGCAUACUGAAUCAGUUAGCUAGAGAGACAAGCAAGGUUGGGGUUUUUUCCUGUUUCCAAGAAAUUUUCUUUUUAAUAUAGGUCACUGCAAUCUUUAAUCUGCAAGACUCACAGAACCUGGCUCAAACAAGUCAAAUUAAUAAUCUGGGCCUGAAAAACACACUCCAUUCAAAAUACAAGCUUUCUGAGAAUGGGGCAGUUGUGGUGCAUAUAUAUAAUCUGUUAGCAGGAAGAGAGUUGAACCUGAAGAGCCACCAGAGGGCAGUUAUGAGGAGGUCAACACACUGAAAAGAAAAUAACCCUAUGGUUUUGGCUUGUGCCUGAACUCUACUUCACACCAUACAAAAAGUAACAAAUACUAGUUUCAGAAAGAGACAAGCAUUUCAUACAUAUGAAUGUCAGAGCAAAUGUCUCUUUCACUGGGUACAUGCAUUGGGAAGUCCAGAGCGAAACAUUUGAUUCACACAUUAAAAGAGUCAAUGCAGUGGAGUGGUUAGGAGUUUUGGAUUUAAGACUAGGAUGACCUGGAUUCAAAUUUCUGCUCAGCCUCAAAGCUUACGGGGUAAAUCACUGGGCCAGACACUAUCUUUUAAACCUAGCCUAUGCCAUGGGGGAAGGGGACAGACCUACCAACCACAUAUGCCACCCUGAGCUUCCUGAAGGGUGGGAUUAAAGUGUAAGCAAACAAAAUGCUGCCUUUCCCACAACACUUUAAUAUUCAUACCAGGAAAAUGUGUAGGUGUUUUUAAAGAAUCAGCAAAACAAGGUACUUAUCAAUCUGUUCUUUCCAGUAACAUUCCCUCCCCUCUAUAUUUCCCCUUGCACAAAAUGAAGCAUACCCAUGGCUGUGAAUCAGAAAGUUAUGAAAACAUGCACCCAGCACCUUCUUCCCUCUUUAUAGCUCUGUCUUUGCAGAGCCAGCUAUUCUGAAUGCUUGCCGAAGAACUGAAAAAAUGACAUUCAUAAAGUCAUCAGAAAAAUACCAUGGAGCUGGAGAAGGAAGAUUACUUUGUUCCACUAUCUAACCCAUUAAGGUGUUCUGCACAAAUGUAAACACAUAUUCUAUUGAACAAUACAUGUCUUAAAAAGAAAAAUAUUACUUGUGUGCUUUGCUAGGCUGUAAAAUAAAAACUUUUGAAA